AACGAACGUUGGCGGCGUGCCUAACACAUGCAAGUCGAGCGCGGGCAGGACUUCGGUCCUGUUCCGAGCGGCGCACGGGUGAGUAACACGUGAGUAACCUGCCUCGAAGUUUGGGAUAACCGCCCGAAAGGGUGGCUAAUACCGGAUAAGGCCCCCACUGGCACAGGCCAGAGAGGGAAAGCCUUGGCGCUUCGAGAUGGGCUCGCGUCCCAUUAGCUAGUUGGUGAGGUAACGGCUCACCAAGGCGAAGAUGGGUAGCUGGUCUGAGAGGAUGAUCAGCCGACACUGGAACUGAGACACGGUCCAGACUCCUACGGGA
rnacentral:rRNA from 1 species